rnacentral:rRNA from 1 species
CCUACGGGAGGCAGCAGUGAGGAAUAUUGGUCAAUGGCCGGAAGGCUGAACCAGCCAAGCCGCGUGAAGGACGAAGGUGCCAAGCAUUGUAAACUUCUUUUGGCAAGGGACAAAAUCAGGCUAGAGAGCCUGACCGAGGGUAAUUGAAGAAACAGCAUCGGCUAACUCCGUGACAGCAGCCGCGGUAAUACGGAGGAUUCGAGCGUUAUCAGGAUUUAUUGGGUUUAAAGGGUGCGUAGGCGGACUGUUACGUCAGCGGUAACAGCCCGGGGCUCAACCCCGGCCAGCCGUUGAAACUGGCUGUCUUGCGAUGUCGAGAGGUAUGCGGAAUGCGCAGUGUAGCGGUGAAAUGCUUAGAUAUUGCGCAGAACUCCGAUUGCGAAGGCAGCAUACCGGCGGCGAUCUGAUGCUGAGGCACGAAAGCGUGGGUAUCGAACAGGAUUAGAUACCCUUGUAGUC